rnacentral:snRNA from 1 species
GCCAGUGGCGCGAAGCUACCGU